GGCCUCGUAGCGUAGUGGCAACGCGUCAGCCUCCUACUAUGGAGUUAAAUGCCCACUUACAGCUGAAGGUCGCGGGUUCGAUCCCCGUCGUGGCCU